AGAUGACGUGUUGGUAGAUGGGUCAGGCCUCACAGAAUGUAACAGAAUGACUUAACUCGCCUCAGAACCAACACAAGCCGCAUGCGGCAAUCCAGUUGCUUUGCUUUAAGACCUAAAGAAAGGGAAAGCGCGUAACACCCGCUCGAACUUAAAGUCAGUCUUGCAAAGUCACAAGUGCGCUCCGCGCAGCAGUUCUGCCUUCACACAUCUACUGGAUGUUGUUUUCUAGGCUCUUUAUCGAUUGCGUCGAUUGCUGAUCGGAAAAGAUGAAAAAUCCAUCAAAUGCCAUCAGUAGACGAUAUAGCCUUCAUAAACUCGUAUAUCUGCUUGCCCACCAAGUCUUAGGAUGAGCCGUGACCUUUGCUAAUAUCGAAUAUGACUAUCCUAGAACCAGUUUUGGGCUUUUCGCCGAUAUGGUGGCUCUUACUCUAUGCCAGCCUGAUUCUCUUGCUCUCACCUCUCGUGUUGGUGAUGGUCGUCUUUUUGCCAAAUUUACCAAUAAUAUUGUUAAGGAGGAUGUGUACAAUCCCUGUCGAAUCCAUAUAGAACUAAAAGAACAAACACCAAAGAAGAGUCCCGGAUCCAAAAACUCCUGAGCCUACCACCCACUCGAAGAGGAUAUUUUUUAGGAACCAUCAUGUGGCGAUGGAAAACAAGGAUUGAAAACUCAUAGGAACGUAGGAUGAUUGCCAUAACAGAUUUUUGUUUUUAAUUACUCAUUAUCAUCAAUUUCGUUGGGCCUCUUGUACAUAUUUGACGAAAAAGAAUGGUUGUGAUUUUGUAUAGCCUCUGUAUGCAGAAUUCAUUUAAUGUGAAUGCUGAUCAUGCGGGAGGAUUUUAUUGAUUGAAAUGGGUGUGAACUGAUUUUUAUUUUAUAGGAAAAAAAAAUUAACGAUUCGCAAAGAUAGCUUUUGUUGAGUCAAUUUGGUAGCAAGAGCAAAAGCGGAUUGUGAAUGAAAUGCAAUGUUUAUUGUAAUAAAUUUGCAAAACUUAU